GGGCGUGUAGCCCAGUGGUAAAGCAUCUCAGUCGCAAUGAGAAGAUUCCAAGUUCGAAUCCUGGUACGUCCA
rnacentral:tRNA from 1 species